CGAUUAUUUCCUACCAAAGGAUUUUAAAACACAAAUAGGAGAUAAAAAUGUAGAAACAAGAUUUUCAUUACUACACUUAAACAUCAGAAGCAUAUCAAAUAAGUUUGAUUCAUUCAACAAUUUGAUUGAUACUUUAAAUAUACCAUUCCAGGUAAUAGGACUAACUGAGACCUGGUUGAAUGACAACAAUAUGGAUUGUUAUACUUUAAAUGAACACGAGUAUUUUGGUUCAAACAGACCGAAUAAAAGAGGCGGGGGUGUAGGUUUAUAUAUUUCGAAACAAUUAAAAUUUAAAAGUCGGAAUGAUUUAGACAAAAACGUAGAAGAUAUAAUUGAAACCAAAUUUAUUGAAAUAAUAAAUG